rnacentral:rRNA from 1 species
UACGAAGGGGGCUAGCGUUGUUCGGAUUUACUGGGCGUAAAGCGCACGUAGGCGGAUUGUUAAGUCAGGGGUGAAAUCCCGGAGCUCAACUCCGGAACUGCCUUUGAUACUGGCAAUCUUGAGGCUGGAAGAGGUUAGUGGAAUUCCCAGUGUAGAGGUGAAAUUCGUAGAUAUUGGGAAGAACACCAGCGGCGAAGGCGGCUAACUGGUCCAGAUCUGACGCUGAGGUGCGAAAGCGUGGGGAGCAAACAGG